AGCAUUAUACCGUGAAACUGCGAAUGGCUCAUUAAAUCAGUUAUCGUUUAUUUGAUAGUACCUUACUACUUGGAUAACCGUGGUAAUUCUAGAGCUAAUACAUGCUAAAAACCCCAACUUCGGAAGGGGUGUAUUUAUUAGAUAAAAAACCAAUGCCCUUCGGGGCUCUUUGGUGAUUCAUGAUAACUUCUCAGAUCGCAUGGCCUUGCGCCGGCGACGGUUCAUUCAAAUUUCUGCCCUAUCAACUUUCGAUGGUAAGGUAUUGGCUUACCAUGGUUUCAACGGGUAACGGGGAAUUAGGGUUCGAUUCCGGAGAGGGAGCCUGAGAAACGGCUACCACAUCCAAGGAAGGCAGCAGGCGCGCAAAUUACCCAAUCCCGACACGGGGAGGUAGUGACAAUAAAUACUGAUACAGGGCUCUUUUGGGUCUUGUAAUUGGAAUGAGUACAAUUUAAACCUCUUAACGAGGAACAAUUGGAGGGCAAGUCUGGUGCCAGCAGCCGCGGUAAUUCCAGCUCCAAUAGCGUAUAUUAAAGUUGUUGCAGUUAAAAAGCUCGUAGUUGAACCUUGGGCCUGGCUGGCAGGUCCGCCUCACCGCGUGUACUUGACCGGCCGGGCCUUCUCUUCUGGAGAACCUCAUGCCCUUUACUGGGCGUGUUGGGGACCAGGACUUUUACUUUGAAAAAAUUAGAGUGUUCAAAGCAGGCCUUUGCUCGAAUAUGUUAGCAUGGAAUAAUAGAAUAGGACGUGCGGUCCUAUUUUGUUGGUUUCUAGGACCGCCGUAAUGAUUAAUAGGGACAGUCGGGGGCAUCAGUAUUCAAUUGUCAGAGGUGAAAUUCUUGGAUUUAUUGAAGACUAACUACUGCGAAAGCAUUUGCCAAGGAUGUUUUCAUUAAUCAGUGAACGAAAGUUAGGGGAUCGAAGACGAUCAGAUACCGUCGUAGUCUUAACCAUAAACUAUGCCGACUAGGGAUCGGGCGAUGUUUCAAUAUUGACUCGCUCGGCACCUUACGAGAAAUCAAAGUGUU
rnacentral:rRNA from 2 species